ACCUUACCAGCCCUUGACAUCCCGAUCAGGAUUAUCAGAGAUGAUGAUUGUCGGUUCGGCCGGAUCGGUGACAGGUGCUGCAUGGCUGUCGUCAGCUCGUGUCGUGAGAUGUUGGGUUAAGUCCCGCAACGAGCGCAACCCUCGCCCUUAGUUGCCAUCAUUAAGUUGGGCACUCUAAGGGGACUGCCGAUGAUAAGCCGAGAGGAAGGUGGGGAUGACGUCAAGUCCUCAUGGCCCUUACGGGCUGGGCUACACACGUGCUACAAUGGUGGUGACAGUGGGCAGCGAGACCGCGAGGUCGAGCUAAUCUCCAAAAGCCAUCUCAGUUCGGAUUGCACUCUGCAACUCGAGUGCAUGAAGUUGGAAUCGCUAGUAAUCGUGGAUCAGCAUGCCACGGUGAAUACGUUCCCGGGCCUUGUACACACCGCCCGUCACACCA
rnacentral:rRNA from 2 species